rnacentral:rRNA from 1 species
AGAGUUUGACCCUGGCUCAGAUUGAACGCUGGCGGCAUGCCUUACACAUGCAAGUCGAACGGUAACAGGGAGCUUGCUCCGCUGACGAGUGGCGAACGGGUGAGUAAUGUAUCGGAACGUACCAUUCAGUGGGGGAUAACGUAGCGAGAGUUACGCUAAUACCGCAUAUUCUGUGAGCAGGAAAGCAGGGGAUCGCAAGACCUUGCGCUGAUUGAGCGGCCGAUAUCAGAUUAGCUAGUUGGUGAGGUAAAGGCUCACCAAGGCGACGAUCUGUAGCGGGUCUGAGAGGAUGAUCCGCCACACUGGAACUGAGACACGGUCCAGACUCCUACGGGAGGCAGCAGUGGGGAAUUUUGGACAAUGGGGGCAACCCUGAUCCAGCCAUGCCGCGUGAGUGAAGAAGGCCUUCGGGUUGUAAAGCUCUUUCGGCCGGGAAAAAAUCGCAUGGGUUAAUACCCUGUGUGGAUGAUGGUACCGGAAUAAGAAGCACCGGCUAACUACGUGCCAGCAGCCGCGGUAAUACGUAGGGUGCGAGCGUUAAUCGGAAUUACUGGGCGUAAAGCGUGCGCAGGCGGUUUGAUAAGACAGGCGUGAAAUCCCCGGGCUCAACCUGGGAACUGCGUUUGUGACCGUCUCACUAGAGUACGGCAGAGGGGGGUGGAAUUCCACGUGUAGCAGUGAAAUGCGUAGAGAUGUGGAGGAACACCAAUGGCGAAGGCAGCCCCCUGGGUCGAUACUGACGCUCAUGCACGAAAGCGUGGGUAGCAAACAGGAUUAGAUACCCUGGUAGUCCACGCCCUAAACGAUGUCAACUAGGUGUUGGGUGGGUAAAACCAUUUAGUACCGUAGCUAACGCGAGAAGUUGACCGCCUGGGGAGUACGGCCGCAAGGUUAAAACUCAAAGGAAUUGACGGGGACCCGCACAAGCGGUGGAUGAUGUGGAUUAAUUCGAUGCAACGCGAAAAACCUCACCUACCCUUGACAUGUCCAGGAGUCCGAAGAGAUUUGGAUGUGCUCGAAAGAGAACUGGAACACAGGUGCUGCAUGGCUGUCGUCAGCUCGUGUCGUGAGAUGUUGGGUUAAGUCCCGCAACGAGCGCUACCCUUGUCGUUAAUUGCCAUCAUUUAGUUGGGCACUUUAACGAGACUGCCGGUGACAAACCGGAGGAAGGUGGGGAUGACGUCAAGUCCUCAUGGCCCUUAUGGGUAGGGCUUCACACGUCAUACAAUGGUCGGUACAAAGGGUUGCCAACCCGCGAGGGGGAGCUAAUCCCAUAAAGCCGAUCGUAGUCCGGAUCGUAGGCUGCAACUCGCCUGCGUGAAGUCGGAAUCGCUAGUAAUCGUGGAUCACCUCC